rnacentral:rRNA from 1 species
CGGUAAUUCCAGCUCCAAUAGCGUAUACUAAAGUUGUUGCAGUUAAAAAGCUCGUAGUUGGAUUUCUGCGGGGACGGAGCGGCCGGUCGCAACUUGCGACUCGAGCUAGCGCUUUCCCCGCAUCCUGCCGCGAACCGUGCUACCAUUAGUUUGGUGGCGCUGGGGAUCGGCUCGAUUACUUUGAGAAAAAUAGAGUGUUCAAAGCAGGCCACACGCCUUGAAUAAGUUAGCAUGGAAUAAUGACUAAGGACUUCGGUUCUAUUUUGUUGGUGUUCGGGACUGAAGUAAUGAUUGAUAGGGACAGUUGGGGCGGUCUGUAUUCCAAAGCGAGAGGUGAAAUUCUUAGACCUUCGGAAGACAAACAGCUGCGAAAGCGUUCCGCAAGGAUGUUCCCUUUGAUCAAGAACGAAAGUUGGGGGAUCGAAGACGAUCAGAUACCGUCGUAGUCUCAACUAUAAACUAUACCAGCUAGGGAUCGGUCAACGUUUAAUUAUUCGACUUGAUCGGCACCUUAUGAGAAAUCAAAGCAUCUGGGUUCCGGGGGGAGUAUGGUCGCAAGGCUGAAACUUAAAGGAAUUGACGGAAGGGCACCACCAGCCGUGGAGCCUGUGGCUUAAUUUGACUCAACACGGGAAAACUUACCAGGUCCAGACAUAGUAAGGAUUGACAGAUUGAUAGCUCUUUCUUGAUUCUGUGGGUGGUGGUGCAUGGCCGUUCUUAGUUGGUGGAGUGAUUUGUCUGGUUAAUUCCGUUAACGAACGAGACCCCAGCCUGCUAAAUAGCGCGGCUGAGCUUUGCUCGGUGCGAGCUUCUUAGAGGGACUAUGAUGCGCGAUAGCACAUGGAAGUUUGGGGCAAUAACAGGUCUGUGAUGCCCUUAGAUGUUCUGGGCCGCACACGGGCUACACUGGCGCCUGCAACGAGCAUAUCAGCUGGCCCGAGAGGGUCUUGGCUAAUCUUUUGAACCGGCGCCGUGCUUGGGAUUGACCUUUGCAAUUGUUGGUCAUGCAACGAGGAAUGCCUUGUAAACGCGAGUCAUCAGCUCGCAUUGAAUACGUCCCUGCCCUUUGUACACACCGCCCGUCGCUCCUACCGAUGAAUGUUCCGAUGAAAUUUUCGGAGUGCGCCAGAGAACGGGGCUCUGCCUUGCAGAUCUGGAGGCUCAAAGUCACUUAAAUCUGAACAUUUCGAGGAAGGAGAAGUCGUAACAAGGUAGCC